AUUGAACGCUGGCGGCAUGCUUUACACAUGCAAGUCGAACGGCAGCGCGGGCUUCGGCCUGGCGGCGAGUGGAGAACGGGUGAGUAAUGCAUCGGAACGUGCCCAGUAGUGGGGGAUAGCUCAGCGAAAGCCGGAUUAAUACCGCACACGACCUGAGGGUGAAAGCGGGGGACCGCAAGCCCCCGCUCUACUAGAGCGGCCGAUGUUGGAUUAGCUAGGUGGUGGGGAAAAGGCUUACUAAGGCGACGAUCCGUAACAGGUCUGAGGGGACGACUCGCCAGACUGGGAGUGAGACACGGCCCCGACUCCUAGGGGAGGCAGCAGUGGGGAAUUUUGGACAAUGGGGGCAACCCUGAUACAGCCAUGCCGCGGGCGGGAAGAACGCCUUCUGGUUGUAAACCGCUUUUGUUCGGGAAGAAAUCCUGUGGGCUAAUACGCCGGGGGGAUGACGGUACCGGAAGAAUAAGCACCGGCUAACUACGUG
rnacentral:rRNA from 1 species